CCCCUGCCUAUCUACCCUGACCUGUGUGACCCAAUUUUCUGAGCCCUGUAGCUUCUUAGAAGAGGCCUCCCCCGCAGACUGGUGGUGACCCUUUUCAGGGCCUAGGGGAAGGGAUGAAGGUUAAGGGAGGAGAGUGUGGAAGCUCCACCCAGGGGCCUUGUGGGGGGCCAAGCCCACCUUUUCCAGCUCUGCCACUCUGAGCACCUUCUGCCCAGAAUCCCACCCUGGAAGCCUUCUCAUCGUUCCAGCUUGAAAAAGUUGGCGGGCGGGACGGAAAACGCGGCCUGGAUCGCGCCGGGACGGCCGCAGCCGCUCGCAGGCGCCCCGCGGUAGCCAAAAAUGGAAGGAAGCACAUCUGCAACGCAUUUACGUGAUGUUCACCUUUGAGACCGCGCGGCUGGAUGGAGGCGCAUUGCUUUUUCCUGUACACCUCACCUUUAACGUGACCAUGACCAGAGGCGGUGUCUGAGAGAUUGCUCGACCCUCUUCAGCGCUGAGUUUUUUCCUAGAGCUCAGUCUGGUGGUCUUACAAAAUGGAAUCUCCGAGGCAUGCGGCUACAGCAAACAUUGAGGAGAGAUUGUCUUUUGUUCCGUCUCGGGGUCUUACCAAGUGCGUCCGCUGCUCCAGACAUGUCUUCCCCAGACGCAAGGCUGUUCAUGGUAUUUGAGUGUCUGUUUCAGCGUCACGGCGCUUGGAAAUGUCACAUUCGUGAUUGUUUUUCCAAUCACCAAGUGAAUCUGAGUGGGACUCUCUCUAUUCUUCUGACGACUACCUUUCAGCUCAAGUUAUGGUUUUAUAAAUAAUAUAUAUGGCAAGUCAGUGCUGGGGAAAGGACGUUCAUUCUGCUCUGAAAUAUUUAUGGCCUGGAGUGUCUGCUUACUUUUCUUUGGAGUCAUUUUUUCAGCACGGCGUGCCAGAAAGCACGACAGCCCAGGACAUCUUCAGAGGCAGCCGCGCGGAUGGCCCUUCCAGCCAGGCUGCGGGGCCUAUCCAUCCUGCGGCCGACAGGGGAAGUGUCAGCUCGGCCCGGAGAGCGCUCCCGAGCCCAGACCUCCUAAAUUAUCUCAGGGAAGGCUCUGCUCCAGUGACAAGAAUCAGCACCACUGCCUUCGAAACAGACGUUGCUUUCCAGCGUGCGGUUUGAAUUAUCACAGACACUACAUCAGGCUUAUGCUCGGAUACACUCUUGAAGCCUUGGGCCUCUCCUCGGAGGUGUGCGUUUUCACCCUUAUGUUCCACGUGGGAAAACAGAGGCUCGGCAAGGUUAAGGAAUUUCUCAAGGUCAAUGCCACCAUCAAGUAGGAGCCUGGAUUUUCACCCAGCCGGGCUGACUCCUUAUCGCCAUCUUUUCUCCUCAUACCAAGCUGCUGCCCUGCCUGGCCCAUCGCUCAGCUGCAGCUGGGGGCCAGCGAAUGGAUUGUAGAUCACUUUCAGCGGCUGCGUGCGCCUGUCUGCAGUGAUUUGAAAUGCUAGGGGCCUUGGAUCUGGGAAUAACAAUCUGCACUGAACAGCCGGGCUUGAAUCCCAAUCCUAAGGCCUGGAUGCAUUCCUACACGUGCUGAAGUGGGGCAGAUGCUUCUAGAAAGGCCCAUAGACUCAUCAUGUCUGACUUCCCAUGUUACAGGUGGGAGAUGAAGAGCCUGGCAGGGAUAUGGAUUUGCCCAAGGCCACAGAGACCAUUGGAGCCCAUUGGUCACAACGGUGGCUCUUGGAGUCCAGUCAUCUGGUCAACCUUGUCUCCCUCCCAUUACCCUUCCUCUUCCAAAGCUCGAUCAGCAUCGCUCAGUAGAUGAAUAUAGAGCUAUGUACUCCCUGGGGCUGGCUGAAAAUCCACGAAUGAGUCAAAUGAUUUUGAGACUGUGCUUGGGUAGAAAACCUUGCCGGGCAUUGCUAAACUAGUUGGACUAUGGAGUGAGCUGUAGUUAAUUCAUUAGAAAUAAUCAGUGAUCAAACUGAGUAGUGAGACCGGGAAGAUCUCACACUGUUUCUCCACCUGGAAGGACAAUUGCCUAUAGGAAAAAGAUGCUUAUAUUCCUGCUAGUUGGUGACUCUAGGCACCCCAAGGGCAGGGCUGGCACGCUGUCAUAACUGGGGCAGGUAACAGAGCAUAGUUAUAAAAUCAAUCGGGGACAACAUUUCUGAAAAAGUCCGGCUCAGCCCUGAGCCAGAGGGAACUGUUGGGCUGUUCUGCCUUUGGCCUGGUUCUCCCAUGCUGCCCCUGCUGUAGGAAACCCCCUGUGGUAGAUAGUCUUCGAAGAUGACCCCCACAGUGAGUCCCCCUCCUGGUGUUUACGCCUUCCUACUGCCCUCUCCCCUGAAUAUGGGCUGGCCCUGUAUGCGUCAAUAGAAUGUACUGGACACGACCGAGUGACUUCCACGGCCACAUGAGAAGAUCCCACUCUGAGAUGAGUCCUCCACAUCAGCUAAGAAGCCACCACCAAGAGCAUGUGCAGAUAUGGUAGAAAGCCAGGGCCUGUAGAAGGAGGGUCUCCCUGCCCUUCCCUCUGGACAGCCGGCCCUCACCUGGAGUUAUGCUUAGACCUCACCUCUGCCCUUGGUUUCUGGCCAUCUCCUAAAACGUGUGGCCAGGAGGCCCCAGAGUAUCCCUGGGGGCCCCACAAUGGGAAGGAGCAGGGCUAUGCAAACAGCUAACUGUUUGGUACAAGAUGAGCACAAAAAUUAAGCAUGUCUAGACACCGGGAUCGAAAUUUGACAUUGCCAUGACAGCCAAGCUUUGAUCCACGCACUUGUCUCUUCAAAUAGGAAAUAG